AUGGCUCGCGGCGAUCAUCAAAGUGAUGAUGACGAUUUCAUGGAUCCACCUCAACGUAACCGGGAAACUGGACGGAGAAAAGAGGGUGAUGAGAAGAAGAAACAUAUUCGCAACAGAGCCUCCCAGGAACGUCUGACCGUGCUGAUUGACAAAUUCAGUGACGAUCAAAAGGGAGCUGCUGCUGAGAUGGGUAUGCAGGUUCUGAUGGAUGUCCGGUGCACGAACCUUGUCAACCCGGUAUGCGACUGGCUUGGUGAGAUAUACGAUCCCGCCUCCAGGGAAUUCGUGAUCCCGGGAUAG
rnacentral:rRNA from 1 species